rnacentral:rRNA from 1 species
AUGGAAGAGCUAGGACUGAAGGAAGAUGAAUUGGAGGAUGUGAUCAUGGAGGACGAGGAGUUGCCAGAAGAAGCAACACGCUGGAUGAUUAUUGCUAGGGUUCAUACUGAGAAAAGUUAUAGCCAGUAUUGGUUCUAUAGGAACAUGCGAGUGGCAUGGGAUUUGGCAAAGGAAGUGAAGAUCAAGCCACUAGAAGAGAACUUGUAUACAAUGCAAUUUGGCUGCUUGGGAGACUGGGAG